rnacentral:rRNA from 1 species
CCUACGGGAGGCAGCAGUAAGGAAUAUUGGUCAAUGGAGGCAACUCUGAACCAGCCAUGCCGCGUGCAGGAAGAAGGCCCUAUGGGUCGUAAACUGCUUUUGUACCAGAGAAAACCCGAGUACGUGUACUCGGUUGAUAGUAUGGUAAGAAUAAGCAUCGGCUAACUUCGUGCCAGCAGCCGCGGUAAGACGAAGGAUGCAAGCGUUAUCCGGAUUCAUUGGGUUUAAAGGGUGCGUAGGCGGACUGAUAAGUCAGUGGUGAAAUCUCUCGGCUUAACCGAGAAACUGCCAUUGAUACUGUUAGUCUAGAGUAUAGAUGACGUUGGCGGAAUAUGACAUGUAGUGGUGAAAUACUUAGAUAUGUCAUAGAACACCGAUUGCGAAGGCAGCUAACGAAACUAUAAACUGACGCUGAGGCACGAAAGUGCGGGGGAUCAAACAGGAUUAGAUACCCUGGUAGUCCGCACCGUAAACGAUGAUUACUCGUUGUUGGCAAUAUGACCGUCAGCGACCGACGACGAAGACGAGUAAGUAAGUACCACCGUAACGGGGUAGGUACGGUUCCGGCCGAACCGGUUACGGUUAAACGUAACCGAAAGUUAGUUAGUUAGUUACGGGACGUUGGAGACGUUACGGCCGAACGGACGACCGACCGAGGGGAGGAGG